rnacentral:rRNA from 1 species
UACGUAGGGCGCAAGCGUUGUCCGGAAUUAUUGGGCGUAAAGAGCUCGUAGGUGGCGUGUCACGUCUGCCGUGAAAGCCCAUGGCUUAACUGUGGGUCUGCGGUGGAUACGGGCAGGCUGGAGGCUGGUAGGGGCAAGCGGAAUUCCUGGUGUAGCGGUGAAAUGCGCAGAUAUCAGGAGGAACACCGGUGGCGAAGGCGGCUUGCUGGGCCAGUUCUGACGCUGAGGAGCGAAAGCGUGGGGAGCGAACAGG